CAAAUGCAGCAAUAGUGAUCAAUGAAUAGCCGAAACCUUUGUUAUUCAACUUGAACCCAAGGGUACAAACAAGAAACAUGAUAGUCAACAAGAUGAACCAACAAAAAAGCCUUCUCUUACUUGCUUAACAUUGAAUCAAAUUUUGCUCAUAAUAGAAUGAUUAUUAUGAUAUUAUUAUAUUCUUAUAAAUGUGUGUUUAGGUUUUUUUUGUUGGUAUCAUUAUUUAACCUUAAAUUGGUAAUAAGUUUAAUGGGCGGAUAAAUAAGUUUAAAUAACUAGUCACUUUCUCAAUCCGAUUACCAUGAUCCUAAUCUUUUCCGGCUUCUGAUUCCCUCUUCAUCAUCAGCCUCAUCAUUCUCCUCAUCUUCACAACAAAGCCUCUAAUGUGUUCGUUUGUGCGUUAACGGGUGAAGAAAAAAAGUGAACAUCAAGACCCUCAAUAAUAAGCGUAACAACAUUUAAAAAGCAAUGUGAAAGGACCAGUUUUUGUUGGGCAACAAUGACUAUCUUGUAGAACCAAAAAAGGGUCCUUUCCAAUGGUUAUUAUUCACAACAAGAUAAUCUUUACAUUUCAAUGUCACCCUAAAUUCAUUUAUUAUCAUUAAAAACUGUAAAAUCUUAAAAGUAUAUACAAAAAAACAAAAUGAAACAAGAUAAAUACAAGUUAAGGUCAGAAGUGUAACCCACAGAAACCAAAUAAAGACUAAUAGCGCCAAAGACAAAAUGUAAACAAGCAAAUCUGGUAAAAUGUUAUUGAAAUUUUAUUGAUCACUUUUGCUGAUUAAUCAAUGGUUGUUCAAUGUUAAUUUACAUACAUUUUAUAAUCGGAUCAUAACUGUUGUAUUUAACAAUGAUAAUGUUUUGAAAACAAUCAAACGGUAAGCUUUAUUGAUGAGAUUGAAGGUUGAAUAAAUGGUGAACAGCAAGAGAAAACCAAGAAAAAGGAAAAAAUGUAAUACAAAUGUUGAUCCUUGAUACUCAAAAUUGUAAUACUAAUUCAAUGAGACAAAGAAUAAGUAAGACAACACAAAGUGUUCAACACUAAAUCUAUGCUAAAUCUGUCUUAAAUCUAUAGUGGAUCCCAUGGAUUGGCCAGGAUAGAGACAGGAUGAAACUGAAUAAUAUGUUACUAUCAUCUUGUUGAUACCUGUAUAUAAGAAAGCUAUUUAAUAUUAACAUCAAUACAGAUUCAUCUUUCAUUCAUUUGUUGCACCAAGAUCAGCUGGCAUCAACAAUCAAACUGAAAUAAAUGUCAACAAGUCGACUCUACAUCAACUCAUUAUGUUCAACAAUCAAUUUACAAACAAACCAGCUUUUGAAACAUCAUCAAAUGAAGACAAUUAAAUCUUAAACUGGUGGUAAAAUAUCAAUGAUUUACUUGGCUAAAUUAUGUUUGCUGAUAUGAUAAUUUAAAUGGUUAAAAAAGCGUCCUCUCAAGGUUUGCCUUUAUACAGAUUAGGUUAACGGGUAAAACCAGGAUUUAAAAGCCAUUCUUACGGUUACAUUGUACACAAAGUAUAUCACCAUAAUCCAUCUAUGCGGAGGAAGCCAAUUAUUGGAAGACAAUCAAGAUGAAUGUGAACAGGAUAAUGAGGAUGAUGAGGAUGAUUGAAAAAGUAAGACAGUCUUUAAAGCUGCAGUUUACCAAAAAGAUUUCAGUCCAUUGGUAGACCAUAAUACACAGGAACCAUUGAAAGAAGGCUCCAAAAAAAUUGGAUCAAUUCCCUUUGAAAUUUGUGUGUCAAAAAGAUGGUUUUGUCACCUUAUUUUGGUCCUCUCGAUUUUCAUUUUUGUUUCAAAUGAUAAUUUUCCUGUCCAAAAGACUGUGGAUCAACCAGAAAAGGCUAAUCAUGAAGAUGACAAUGAGGAUGAUGAUAGUAAUGAUGAGGAUAAUAGUGGCAAUGGUUCAUUGAAAGUUUCCCCGUUUUUUAUGUAUUUAUUUAUGUAUUAGACAAUUUAACUUGAUGUUGCUGUUAAUAUCAAACCACUGAGGCUAAAAUUUUUUUUAUAUAUUUAUAUCAUUAUCGGUCUCAAGAGGCACAGAUGGUUUCAUAUAUCCAUAAAUACAUGUAUAUUGGUUAUAACUUAUAAGGUAUACCCUUACAUAUCCAAUUGAAAGGUCAUGUAUAUGUUUUCAUAUUCAGAAUUGAAGCAACAAUUUUCAUUUCCAAUCAAUGUAUCAUCCACACCAUUGAUUUGUAACUUAAAGUCAAUCAGUUCAUUUUGAA